GGCUGGGUAGCUCAGCGGCAGAGCAGACGUUUCAUAAGCGUCGGGUCGUGGGUUCGACUCCCACCCCAGCCA
rnacentral:tRNA from 3 species